UGACCCAUUCAAAAAUGGAGCAGGGAUAUGAACAGAGAAUUCUCAAAAGAAGUAAAUAUAGUGUGGCUAAAUUGAGACACAGGUCAUGUUUCCAUCACAGUAGAUAUAUCACAGUGGUGACAAUGAGACCUGUAACAUUU